rnacentral:rRNA from 1 species
GUAGGUGGUUUGUNGCGUCGUCUGUGAAAUUCCGGGGCUUAACUUCGGGGUGGCAGGCGAUACGGGCAUAACUAGAGUGCUGUAGGGGAGACUGGAAUUCCUGGUGUAGCGGUGGAAUGCGCAGAUAUCAGGAGGAACACCGAUGGUGAAGGCAGGUCUCUGGGCAGUAACUGACGCUGAGGAGCGAAAGCAUGGGGAGCGAACAGGAUUAGAUACCCUGGUAGUCCAUGCUGUAAACGGUGGGCGUUAGGUGUGGGGACCGGUUUGGUUUCUGUGCCGUAGCUAACGCAUUAAGCGCCCCGCCUGGGGAGUACGGCCGCAAGGCUAAAACUCAAAGGAAUUGACGGGGGCCCGCACAAGCGGCGGAGCAUGUGGAUUAAUUCGAUGCAACGCGAAGAACCUUACCUGGGUUUGACAUGCACCAGACGGUUGUAGAGAUACGUACCUCCCUUUGUGGUUGGUGUGCAGGUGGUGCAUGGUUGUCGUCAGCUCGUGUCGUGAGAUGUUGGGUUAAGUCCCGCAACGAGCGCAACCCUUGUCUUAUGUUGCCAGCACUUUGGGUGGGGACUCAUGAGAGACUGCCGGGGUUAACUCGGAGGAAGGUGGGGAUGACGUCAAAUCAUCAUGCCCUUUAUGCCCAGGGCUUCACACAUGCUACAAUGGUUAGUACAACGCGCUGCAAACCUGUGAGGGUGAGCGAAUCGCUGAAAGCUAAUCUCAGUUCGGAUUGGGGUCUGCAACUCGACCCCAUGAAGUCGGAGUCGCUAGUAAUCGCAGAUCAGCAAUGCUGCGGUGAAUACGUUCCCGGGCCUUGUACACACAGCCCGUCACGUCAU